AGUGGUCUUCAGAGGAGAUCUCCUGGAAAGAAGAAAAUUCCCCGUCGGAAUUACAUCAGCCGUGGUCCAAAUGACACCUGGCACAUUGAUGGCAAUGAUAAACUGAAGUUCUUUGGAAUGUGGAUACAUUUGGGGAUUGACGGAUUUUCCAGGAAGGUUCUAUGUUGUGG